AUGGAAACACACCUGCUGCUGAUUUUAAUUCUGACUUCAGGUGUGAUGACUGCAGACCAGAUUAGACCAAAUCAAGAAACAAGUGUCAUAAAGGAAGAUGAGACUGUGACCCUCAGCUGCACAUAUGAUACAAGCAGCAGUUAUGUUUAUCUGUACUGGUAUAGACAGUAUCCCAAUGGAGAGCUUCGCUAUUUGUUAUUCAAGCCUGCACGAUCAGGUAGUGCAAGUGGGAGCCCCGAUGAUCCUCGCUUUCAGUCGACAACAUCACAGACAUCCACUAAACUCACUAUUACUGGUGUAACUCUGUCAGAUUCAGCUCUCUAUUAUUGUGCUCUAAGAGUAGCAGCCCAGUGA